GACGAACGCUGGCGGCGUGCUUAACACAUGCAAGUCGAACGGAAAGGCCCUGCUUGCAGGGUACUCGAGUGGCGAACGGGUGAGUAACACGUGGGUGAUCUGCCCUGCACUUCGGGAUAAGCCUGGGAAACUGGGUCUAAUACCGGAUAGGAGCCAUUUUUAGUGUGAUGGUUGGAAAGUUUUUUCGGUGUAGGAUGAGCUCGCGGCCUAUCAGCUUGUUGGUGGGGUAAUGGCCUACCAAGGCGGCGACGGGUAGCCGGCCUGAGAGGGUGGACGGCCACAUUGGGACUGAGAUACGGCCCAGACUCCUACGGGAGGCAGCAGUGGGGAAUAUUGCACAAGGGGCGCAAGCCUGAUGCAGCGACGCCGCGUGGGGGAUGACGGCCUUCGGGUUGUAAACUCCUUUCGCUAGGGACGAAGCUUUUUGUGACGGUACCUAGAGAAGAAGCACCGGCUAACUACGUG
rnacentral:rRNA from 1 species